GAGAAUGCAGCCAUCUAUAAACCAGGAAGUGAGCUCUUACCAGACACUGAAUCUACUGGUACCUUGAUCUCGGAUUUUCUAGCCUCCAGAACUAUAAGAAAUAAAUGUUCAUUGUUUAAGCUACCCAGUAUACAGUACUUUUGUUACAGCAGCCCAAAUGGACUAAAACAACCAGAUAUGACACAUUUACAAAUAAGAAUGCAGAGGGAUGAUUCCUGGAACUGAAUAAGAAGAGAUGGUACUAGAUACUAAUAAGAAUAUUCACGUCCACAGAUUGGAGAAUGAAUGUACAAAAUUGUUUCAGAGAUGGCGAAGACUACAUGUUUGGAGAUAUCAACGUUUCUCGCCUAAUUCUGGAAAUUCUGAAGUUUCAGUUUCAGGCAGGACAUAAAAUUAUUCAAGUCCACUCACUGGUGUCUUCCUGUCUCUUUCAUGAUAAACUCCAAAAUCACUAAGGCAAACAAAUUCUCCAUGAUACAUCAAUAUUCCCAACAUCAUUUCUCCCUGUGCUUCCUCCAGAAUGCACCUGAUGCUACAACAAUGGCUUGCAGGAUCUUGGCUCCCAGGCCAGAGGUCAGGCCCAAGCUGCUGUGGUGGGGGCUCCAAGUUCAAACCACUGGACUAACAGAGAAUCUCAGACCCCAGAGAAUAUCAAUCGGAGUGAGACCUCCCAGAAGUCCUCAUCUCAGCACCAAGACCCAGCUCUGUCCAACUGCCUGCAAACUCUAGUGCUGGACGUCUCAGGCCAAACAACCAGUAAGACAGGAAUACAGCACCACCCAUCAAAAAAAAAAAAAAAGAAAAUGAAAUGACAAAAAAGUAUGUUAUAGAUGAAGGAGCAAGAUAAAACCCUACAAGACCAAAUAAAUGAAGGUGAGAUAGGCAACCUACCUGAAAAAGAAUUCAGAGUAAUGAUAGUAAAGAUGAUCCUAAAUCUCAGAAACAGAAUGGAGAAAAUACAAGAAACAUUUAACAAGGAUCUAGAAGAACUAAAGAGCAAACAGACAGUGAUGAACAACACAAUUACUGAAAUUAAAAAUACUCUAGAAGGAAUCAAUAACAGAAUAACUGAGGCAGAAGAAUGGAUAAGUGAGCUGGAAGAUAAAAUGGUGGAAAUAACUGCCAGGGAGCAGAAUAAAGAAAAAAGAAUGAAAAGAAUUGAGGACAGUCUCAGAGACCUCUGGGACCACAUUAAAUGUACCAACAUUCGAAGUAUAGGGGUCCCAGAAGAAGAAGAGGAAAGGAAAGGGUCUGAGAAAAUAUUUGAAGAGAUUAUAGUCAAAAACUUCCCUAACAUGGGAAAGGAAAUAAUCAGUCAAGCCCAGGAAACACAGAGAGCACCAUACAGGAUAAACCCAAAGAGAAACACGCCGAAAUGCACAUUAAUCAAACUAUCAAAAAUUAAACACAAAGAAUAUUAAAAGCAGCAAGGGAAAAGAAACAAAUAACAUACAAGUGAAUCCCCAUAAGGUUAAUAGCUGAUCUUUCAGCAGAAACUCUGCAAGCCAGAAGGGAGUGGCAGGACAUAUUUAAAGGGAUGAAAGGGAAAAACCUACAACCAAGAUUACUCUACCCAGCAAGGAUCUCAUUCACAUUCGAUGGGCAAAUUAAAUCCUUUACAAAUAAGCAGAAGUUAAGAGAAUUCAGCAUCUCCAAACCAGCUUUAAAACAAAUGCUAAAGGAACUUCUCUAGGCAGGAAACACAAGAGAAGGAAAAGACCUACAAAAACAAACACAAAACAAUUAAGAAAAUGGUAAUAGGAACUUACAUAUCGAUAAUUACCUUAAAUGUAAGUGGAUUAAAUGCUCCAACCAAAAGACAUAGACUAGCUGAAUGGAUACAAAAAUAAGACCUGCACAUAUGCUGUCUGCAAGAGACCCACUUCAGACCUAUGGACACAUACAGACUGAAAGUGAGGGAAUGGGAAAAGAUAUUCCAUGCAAAUGGAAAUCAAAAGAAAGCUGGAGUAGCAAUUCUCAUAUCAGACAAAAUAGACUUUAAAAUAAAGACUAUUACAAGAGACAAAGAAGGACACUACAUAAUGAUCAAGGGAUCAAUCCAAGAAGAAGAUAUAACAAUUAUAAAUAUUUAUGCAUGCAACAUAGGAGCACCUCAAUACACAAGGCAAAUGCUAACAACCAUAAAAGGGGAUAUCCAGGAUAUCUUAAUAUGACUAAUUAUAAGAAAUAGUUUUUUGAUACACAGUCUGAAUAAGAGGCAUGUUUUCCUUCACUGACUCUGAAAUGAGAUUUAAAUGUAUGAGCAGUCCAACAAGGCUAAUUUUCAAGUUGUUACAUGUUUGUACCCUAAACUUGAAAUGUAUUAUCAAAUAAGAGCAGUUUUAUAUCCCCCUUUAUAUUUGAGCAUUUUUUUCUCUUCCCUUCGCUUCUUCCCUGUUUUGCUUCUUCUCAGACCAUUUUUGACAUUAAAAAAAAAAAAAAGGCUUCCCUGGUGGUGCAGUGGUUGGGAGUCUGCCUGCCAAUGCAGGGAACAUGGGUUUGAGCCCUGGUCCGGGAGGAUCCCACAUGCCGCGGAGCAGCUGGGCCUGUGCGCCACAACUACUGAGCCUGCGCUCUCGAACCCAUGAGCCACAACAACUGAAGCCUGUGCACCUGGAGCCUGUGCUCCACAAGAGAAGCCACCGCAAUGAGAAGCCUACGCACCGCAACGAAGAGUGGCCCCCACUCACCACAACUAGAGAAAGCCUGCGCGCAGCAACGAAGAUCCAACGCAGCCAAAAAUACAAUAAAUAAUUUUUUUUUAAAAAUGUAUAACUUCAGGGAGUUUACAAUCUAGUUGGAAACAACAAUACAAGACAGGAAUAUGAAAAUAUACUUUAUGCUAUAGGGAUUAAGAAAAGAUCAAAAUGUAGCAAAAUAAUUAAGGAUAAUUUUAAGAUUGAAUUAUCCUUAUACAAUUAUAUUGAACACUGAAGUGUUGCAAGGCAG